rnacentral:rRNA from 1 species
AGCGAACGUUAGCGGCGGGCCUAACACAUGCAAGUCGAACGGGAAUGAGGGAGCAAUCUCUCUAGUACAGUGGCGGACGGGUGCGUAACACGUGGGUAAUCUACCUUCCAGCGGGGGACAACCGUCCGAAAGGAUGGCUAAUACCGCAUACGUCGGUGAGGGCUCUGGCUCUUAUCGGGAAAGAUGGCCUCUCUUCAGAAGCUGUCACUGGAAGAUGAGCUCGCGUCCCAUCAGCUAGUUGGUGAGGUAAUGGCUCACCAAGGCUUAGACGGGUAGCUGGUCUGAGAGGAUGAUCAGCCACACUGGAACUGCGACACGGUCCAGACUCCUACGGGAGGCAGCAGUGGGGAAUAUUGGGCAAUGGGCGAAAGCCUGACCCAGCCACGCCGCGUGAGUGAUGAAGGCCUUCGGGUCGUAAAGCUCUGUGGGGAAGGACGAACAAGUUGCGUGCUAAUACCACGUGACUCUGACGGUACUUCCUUAGCAAGCACCGGCUAACCCUGUGCCAGCAGCCGCGGUAAUACAGGGGGUGCAAACGUUGCUCGGAAUUAUUGGGCGUAAAGCGCGCGUAGGCGGUCUCUUAAGUCGGAUGUGAAAGCCCUUGGCUUAACUGAGGAAGUGCAUCCGAAACUGAAAGGCU